rnacentral:rRNA from 1 species
GAUGAACGCUGGCGGCGUGCCUAAUACAUGCAAGUCGAGCGAACAGACGAGGAGCUUGCUCCUCUGACGUUAGCGGCGGACGGGUGAGUAACACGUGGAUAACCUACCUAUAAGACUGGGAUAACUUCGGGAAACCGGAGCUAAUACCGGAUAAUAUAUUGAACCGCAUGGUUCAAUAGUGAAAGACGGUUUUGCUGUCACUUAUAGAUGGAUCCGCGCCGCAUUAGCUGGUUGGUAAGUUAACGGCUUACCAAGGCAACGAUGCGUAGCCGACCUGAGAGGGUGAUCGGCCACACUGGAACGGAGACACGGUCCAGACUCCUACGGGAGGCAGCAGUAGGGAAUCUUCCGCAAUGGGCGAAAGCUUGACGGAGCAACGCCGCGUGAGUGAUGAAGGUCUUCGGAUCGUAAAACUCUGUUAUUAGGGAAGAACAAAUGUGUAAGUAACUAUGCACGUCUUGACGGUACCUAAUCAGAAAGCCACGGCUAACUACGUG